AGCGCCGCCGCCGGUAAGCUCCGCUUUUCCGUGAUUUUUUGGCCCCCCGAGGGCCCUAGGGUUGUUUUCUGACAAGGACCGAUGCGAGUGUGGCCGAAUUCGGCCGAAAACGGCCGAAAACAGCCAACCCGAGGCGACUCGCCGCCGCCAGCGGCGGCGCCGUCGCCGGAGCACGGCGGAGCCGCCGUGCCGGAGUUGCGAUUUGGGCCGAAAGAGGCCCUGGGCCUAAUUUGGAUUUUUUUUGGAACACGUGCAGGUACUGUUAGCGUGUUUCAGUUCCCCGGGAAAAAUUCAGGGAAAAUUAGGGACAGCCUGCAGGCGCACUGUGAAUCGUAUUCGGAUCCCGAAAACAAGUAAGGACCCC
rnacentral:lncRNA from 1 species